GACGAACGCUGGCGGCGUGCCUAAUACAUGCAAGUAGGACGCAGUUGCGAACGAGUGAGUAACGCGUAGGUAACUACCUAUUAGAGGGGGAUAAAUAUUGGCAACGAUAGCUAAUACCGCCUACAAGUAGAUGGACCUUCGUUGUAUUAGGUAGUAGGUUGGGUAAUGGCCUACCUAGGCAAAGAUACAUAGCCGAUCUGAGAGGGUGGUCGGGCAAACUGGGACUGGGAAACGGGCCCGGAUCCUGCGGGGGGCAGGAGGAGGGAAUCUUCGGAAAUGGGGGGAAACCUGACCGAGCCACUCCGCGGGAGAGAAGAAGGUUUUCGGAUCGGAAAGCUAUGUUGUUAAGGAAGCGGUACUGAACGAGAAAGGGACGGCUAACUACGUGCCAGCAGCCGCGGUAAUUC
rnacentral:rRNA from 1 species